rnacentral:rRNA from 1 species
GACGAACGCUGGCGGCGUGCUUAACACAUGCAUGUCGAACGGUGAAAGCGGAGCUUGCUCCGCUGGAUCAGUGGCGAACGGGUGAGUAACACGUGGGCAACCUGCCCCUCACUUCGGGAUAACUCCGGGAAACCGGGGCUAAUACCGGAUAUGACCUCCUUGGACAUCCUUGGAGGUGGAAAGUUUUGCGGUGAGGGAUGGGCCCGCGGCCUAUCAGCUUGUUGGUGAGGUAGUGGCUCACCAAGGCGACGACGGGUAGCCGGCCUGAGAGGGCGACCGGCCACACUGGGACUGAGACACGGCCCAGACUCCUACGGGAGGCAGCAGUGGGGAAUAUUGCGCAAUGGGCGAAAGCCUGACGCAGCAACGCCGCGUGCGGGAUGACGGCCUUCGGGUUGUAAACCGCUUUCAGCAGGGAAGAAGCCGCAAGGUGACGGUACCUGCAGAAGAAGCACCGGCUAACUACGUGCCAGCCGCCGCAGUAA